rfam:Schistosoma mansoni strain Puerto Rico chromosome 3, complete genome
GCACUGCUGAGGAGUCCCAUAAUAGGACGAAUUGGUCGUCCAGUGC